rnacentral:lncRNA from 1 species
CAAAAUAAUCUUUUAUUUCAUUUUUAAGAAAAAGAGAUGUUCCAUGAUAUUGAAGGAUAGGUUUGAAUUUAUAAAAACUAAUAACUUGGGUUUGUGAUAAUUUGUAAAAAUACAUAUGCUUGUGAGAGGGAGGAUAAGUCACAAAAAGCUUUUUCAUUUUUAUUUCUAAUACUAACAUUAGAAAGUGAAGAAAGUGAGGUUUUUAUAGUUGAAAUAAAAUGAGAUGUAUUUUUAGUUGUUUUAUUAAUUCUUUCUUGAUUUGCUUCAUUAUUGUGAAUGAAUUCUCAAUCAUUUUUUUUGUUGAUUCAAGAAAAAGUUGGGUAUUGGUUCUUGGAAUAUUAAUGAUAUAUAGAAGAAUAUCCAUGUAUAUCUUUUCAAUGAAAAAAUUUAAAAAAAAAUAGAAUUUCCGGAUUAAUCGAAUAUUUCUUCUUUUUACUAUUUGCCAAAAUUUUUUUGAUGAUUCUAAUAUUUUAUCCUGAUAACUUACUUUGUUAGAACUACUAUUUAUUUCUUGAGUUAGAAAUUCGUUUUUCUUGUAUUUUAUAAUUAGAAUUUUUUGUAUUUGAUUUUUGAUUGUGUUUGUUCUCUUAGUCAGAUCUUUUAUUUUUUUCGGUUAAUGAAUAAUUUGUCCACGCCAUCGAUUGAAUUUGAAGGGAUGAUUUGUGAAUCAUCUUAUUACUGAUUAUCGAAUCCUUUUUAGUUUCGCCCAAUUCAUAUGGUUCUCUCAACCCAAAAAAUGGAAUUGGAUUUAUUUUUGAAAGUUCUUUUAUUAUUCCUUUUAGAAAUAGAAUGCUUUGAGUGAUCCAUUUUUUGUUUCUUUUGAAGCUUUUCGAAACAAUUUAUUUUUUUCUUUUAAAAUUGUUAAAGCUAUAAAACAUUUCGUUUUCCAUUUUUUAUUUUAUUUUUAGUUCUUUAAAAAUAGGCUCAAAAAACGAAUGCCGAUUUCAAGGAGGGCCGAAAGGUAGUUCAGUUUCCAUUCCCCAAACUGUUAAAAAGAAAAAAUCAUUCUUUUGACCUUUCUUUUUUUUUUCAUUGGAUCUUUAUGAGAGGGUUGUAGUUUAAAUCUAUGCCAAGGUUUCAGGCAAAAAGGAAAUAGGAUCUUUAUCUGAAUACCGUCUGUUAACCAGUUUUUUGGAAAUUCUGUUUCGGAUAAUUGAACACCAUUAUAAGUGCAUUUAACAUGCAUUUCUCGAUUCCAAUCCGUUAAAUCCUCAGACCACUCAGGAAAUUGAAAUAAUAACAUACGGGCAAUGUUUUUAACUAUUAUCAGUGAAGGUAAUAUAAUAUAUUUUCUAAGAAUUGAUUGGGUUAUUAACACGGAGCCCCUUAUUACUUGAGCAAGUAAAAGACUAUCCCAAGCUUCUGCUAUUUCUAUCCUCAUUCUCUUCUCUUUUGUAUUUUUCUCUUUUGGCCUCUUCUUUUUUCUCGAUCUUUUUUUCUGUAUAAUCAGAAAUUUUUGAUUCUUUGUUUUUACAUAUCCAAUUUCGAGAUAUUCGUUUCAGCGGUCCAGAAAUAUCAAAAGAAAAAAAAGAGUGGUUUGUCUACUCUGUCCAAAAAAAGGUGAUACGAGUCACAAAGGCCCAACCCAAGCUUAAGAAGGUGAUGGGCUCAAAUCAAGAAAAUCAAGAUUCACUUUCUUGUUUUCAAGAAAAUUAAGAAAUCGAAUCUUGGCCCAAUUUUGCUGUUCGGAGCGAUUUCAAGAAUCAAGAAAAUCAAGAUUUCAAAUCUUGGAAAUCUUGGUCCAAGAAACCGAAUCUUGCAGCCAAAGCGCGUUGGAUCUCCAUUACGAGCGUCAACGACCCAAUUUUGGUAGGAGAUGGAUCACGAGCCCAAAUUCUUGAAGGCGAGGCCCAAUAACCAAAAUCCAGCCCAAUCAAGAAAUUUCUUCAUACUUAGUUGAAAAAUCAGGCCAAAAUGUCAAAGGGCCCAAUUUGUAAACAUCUUACUUGUUUAAUUUAAUUUUUUAAUCUUUAGGAGCAUUACAUGUAAAAUUCGGCCCAAAACAACCCAUAUAAGUGCAUGGCCAAAUUUACCUUGUUUUUUUAUUAAUUAGGUUUAAUUUUUUUAUUAGUUACUUGUGAGAUUAGGAUUUGUUGGAGGCCUAUAUAAGCAUUGGCUAGCCACCCUUUGUAAAAACAUCUCAUUAUUAUUUUUUCUAUCAAAUUUCAGAUUUGUUGAGUGCAGAAUUUUCUUUGGGGUUUUCUCCAAGAAUUCUCUCUUGAGUUUUCUUUAGAAGUUGUUUUAACAAUCUUUUGAUUGUGGGAGCCAUCUUCAACCUUCUUCUUGCCAUCGAUAUUCCUUGGAGGGGAGAUUAGAGCCGUUUGAAGGAAUUUGUGAAUUCUUUCGGGAAUUCAAGGGUUCUUAGGACUUUUCUUUAUUUCUUGCUGUUUCGAUUUGUUUCUUUAUUCCUACUUGUGCCAAUUCAUCAUCUAAUAAUUUGCUGUUCUUGUUUGUGUUUCAGCCUUGAUUCAAACUCCAAGAACUCUUCAUUUAAUCGGUUCUUUUAUUGGCAACAUAUAAUCGACUCAAAAUUCCCCAAAAUUUAGGGUUCUUGCCGUUUUCUAUUUCUUCUUGUUGGGUGAAAUUCGGCUGCUGAAAUUUGGGCAAUUCAUAUUGGGUGUUCAAUUGGACCGAAUCGCAACUUAAAUUCUCUUCUUGAACCCUUCAAUUUCAUCUAUUUCUUUCUUUUCUUUUGCCGUCCAAAUCCCUAAGCUUCCAAUUAAAAAUCUGAUUGUUUCAAUCUACUUACUGUUUUGGUGUUCUUGGCAGGUUUGGCUUGUGGGAUUUCACUAUUGGAGUUCGAUUUCAUCUUCUUGAACUCCGAAUACAUUUAUUCAUUCGUUCUUUGUUCCUUGCUGCUCAUUUAAUUGAAUUUGGGGAUUUAAUUUCAGAUCUGAUUAGUUUAAUCUUGUUCUUUGUUUUUAAUUUAAAGAUCUGUUCGUUUAGAGCUUUCGUAGGAGUUUCUCGUGACUUGGCAACUCGAUCUUGGUCCGCGCGCAUCCCCGUAUCAUUUGGUAUCAGAUUUUGGGCGUUUUGGGUGUUCUUGGUUGAUUUCUAAACUGAUCUCUAUUUUUUAAAGCAUAAACAGCAGUUUUACCCAGAAAAAUUGUUCAAAAAAAAUUCAUUUGAGUGGGUAAACGUUGUCCGAUUGAUCUAAAAUUUUACAUACAUGUUUUUGGCACUGUGAUUGAAUAUAAAAAAAUUAUUCCCGCAAAAAAAUCAGUCAAAAAAUCAAAAAAGACGAAAUUCAAUAAAAAUUUAAAAAAGAUUCAGCGGGUUGAAUUUGGUGCCCAAAAUUUCCAGAUCAAAAAUUCAAUAUAUAAGGACACUCCAGAUUUAAUUUCGUGAUUUUUGGAGAUCGGGAACACCUUGAACGAAGUUGUCAAGUUACUCCGCAGUUUUUCGGGUUUUUUGUUUUCAGCAAUUUUAUUGAUUCUUAGCUGUAGGUUUUCAUUUGUUUACCUUUAUUCUUCCUUUACGUUAUCUAACACCUUCUUGUUUCUUGUGUUAGUAGGAUUUAAACGUGUGCACAACUUCUUCCUCGGUGCAACACGAAUCAAUUGGUGUCUCGUCAGUUUUUGGCAUCCUAGUGCAAAUUAGGAUUCUUUGGUAGUUUGGUUCACACUCUCUAAUUGGUUGAUAUAAACUCUGAUAAAGAACUCACAAGAUUGAAUUCGACCUCAUUGAGAAUUUGAUUUUUCUUUUUGAGUGAUUAAUGGUGAGGUUUGCUAACUUUUAUUUUUGAGUGUUGAGUGUUUAUUUUUUAUAGGUUUUGAAGAUGUCUAAAUGUGAUAAUAAUGAUGCACUUAUGAAAGUCCAACAACAGUUAGACGAACAUACUGCUGCAAUCACACAAAUAAAUGCUACACUUCAAGCAUUGAAUACUACUUUGAAUGAGGUACGAAUGAAUCAAAAACAUCAAUAUCGAGAUCCAAUUAAGGAAGAUAGGGAUAACCAGCCCUAUAGGUGCAGCCCUCAACGUGUCCCUAGAAUGGAUGAUGAUUUUCAUGAUCGUGGACAAUCAUCUUUGGCAAAACCAAAGAGCGAGCAGCAACGAGAACAUCUCUUUCAUACUCGCUGCCAUGUACAAGGUAAGCUUUGUAGAGUUAUUAUUGAUGGUGAAAGUUGCUCGAACAUAGCCAGCACGACGAUGGUGGAAAAGCUUUGGUUAACCACUACCAAGCAUCCACAACCUUAUCAACUACAAGGGCUUAGCAACAAAGGCCAAUUUAGGGUCACUCAACAAGUGCGCAUCGCCUUUUCUAUCGGUAAGUAUCAAGACGAAGUUGUGUGUGACGUAAUGCCUAUUCAGGCCUGCCAUUUGUUGCUAGGAGAACCAUGGCAACUGGAUCGAAGAGUCACUCACGAUAGUCGUACCAAUAGGUAUUCUUUCAAGCAUCAAGGAAAGAAACUCACCUUAGUGCCGCUCACUCCGGAACAAGUCCAUGAGGACCAAAUCAAACUGAAAAAUUCUGUUAAAACAAGUGAGGAAAAAGAAAAAGAGAAUGAAAAAGAGCAAAAAGAGAUUGAGAGUGAAAAAGAAAUUGAAGAAAGAAGAGAAAAUGAAUUAGAAAAAGAAACAAAAGAAAAAGACGUGGAAAGGGUAGUGAGGAAUGUUUCCACUAACCAAGAUAUGAAUUUUUCUUGUGUUGCUACUUUUCAGGUUCCCGAAAGAUCGAAAGAUAACUUUCAACUUCAAUACCUCUCAAAUGAAAGACGCUUUCAUACGAUCAACUUAGGCAAAGAUGAAAUCACACUACAUGAUCCCGAAGGUAAGCGAGGUAAGGAAAUUUUAGAAACCGAGUCCAGUGCAGAUUUGAAAAUUAUUGAUCAAAAUUUUGGUGACUUAGUUCUUAAAAGAUCCCCUCAUUUUGAUCCGAUUAAUUGUUACUCUUCGGUUGUGGUUGAUAAAGUCAUUACGAAAAGAAGCGUGAUUUGUUAUUCUCUUGAUUUACCUUGUGUAAAAUCCUCGAAUUUGUCCAAAUCUAUUUUGGAGAAUAAGGUAACGAAAUUUUCCAAAUUUGUUUUCAAUUUAUAUUCGUGCCUUAAACAGUUUAUGUGGUUGUACAUGAAGUUUGAGUUCCAUUUGAAAAAGGUUAACUCAAAAAUAGAGAUUCGACUACACUAUGCCCCCGAUGAGCGAAGGUUUGUUUUAAAUGAAAAAGGUAAAAUCGACCAUUAUUCUUUUGCUUAUCAAGGUAAGAUGCUUGAAACCUUUGAAACACUUUUGUACUCCUCGGAUAGCGACAAAGAUCGUAUUGAUGAACACUUAGAUCGAAACGUGCUUGACUGUCCUAUUUUAUUUAUUGAUGAUAAAUCUAUUUUGAUGGUUGACAAAAAGAUUCUUGUUUUUGAUAAUGCAUGUGUGAGUGAAUCUAUAGACCGUCGAUUAAUGCAUGGUAAUCUGAAUCUAUCCAUUCACAUGCGUUAUACCUGUUCUAUUAUGCUUAUAAUUGGCCUACAAGCUUGUUUGUGUUGCUAUUUACUAUUUCAUGGCUAUUCCUUUCAGUGGACUCAAUUGCCAUUAGUCCCGUUCGAUCGAGGAAAAUCGAGUUCAUUUGAUUUUUAGAUUCGAGGACGAAUCUUUUUGAGGAAGGAGGGAAUGAUACGAGUCACAAAGGCCCAACCCAAGCUUAAGAAGGUGAUGGGCUCAAAUCAAGAAAAUCAAGAUUCACUUUCUUGUUUUCAAGAAAAUCAAGAAAUCGAAUCUUGGCCCAAUUUUGCUGUUCGGAGCGAUUUCAAGAAUCAAGAAAAUCAAGAUUUCAAAUCUUGGAAAUCUUGGUCCAAGAAACCGAAUCUUGCAGCCAAAGCGCGUUGGAUCUCCAUUACGAGCGUCAACGACCCAAUUUUGGUAGGAGAUGGAUCACGAGCCCAAAUUCUUGAAGGCGAGGCCCAAUAACCAAAAUCCAGCCCAAUCAAGAAAUUUCUUCAUACUUAGUUGAAAAGUCAGGCCAAAAUGUCAAAGGGCCCAAUUUGUAAACAUCUUACUUGUUUAAUUUAAUUUUUUAAUCUUUAGGAGCAUUACAUGUAAAAUUCGGCCCAAAACAGCCCAUAUAAGUGCAUGGCUGAAUUUACCUUGUUUUUUUAUUAAUUAGGUUUAAUUUUUUUAUUAGUUACUUGUGAGAUUAGGAUUUGUUGGAGGCCUAUAUAAGCAUUGGCCAACCACCCUUUGUAAAAACAUCUCAUUAUUAUUUUUUUCUAUCAAAUUUCAGAUUUGUUGAGUGCAGAAUUUUCUUUGGGGUUUUCUCCAAGAAUUCUCUCUUGAGUUUUCUUUAGAAGUUGUUUUAACAAUCUUUUGAUUGUGGGAGCCAUCUUCAACCUUCUUCUUGCCAUCGAUAUUCCUUGGAGGGGAGAUUAGAGCCGUUUGAAGGAAUUUGUGAAUUCUUUCGGGAAUUCAAGGGUUCUUAGGACUUUUCUUUAUUUCUUGCUGUUUCGAUUUGUUUCUUUAUUCCUACUUGUGCCGAUUCAUCAUCUAAUAAUUUGCUGUUCUUGUUUGUGUUUCAGCCUUGAUUCAAACUCCAAGAACUCUUCAUUUAAUCGGUUCUUUUAUUGGCAACAUAUAAUCGACUCAAAAUUCCCCAAAAUUUAGGGUUCUUGCCGUUUUCUAUUUCUUCUUGUUGGGUGAAAUUCGGCUGCUGAAAUUUGGGCAAUUCAUAUUGGGUGUUCNNNNNNNNNNNNNNNNNNNNNNNNNNNNNNNNNNNNNNNNNNNNNNNNNNNNNNNNNNNNNNNNNNNNNNNNNNNNNNNNNNNNNNNNNNNNNNNNNNNNNNNNNNNNNNNNNNNNNNNNNNNNNNNNNNNNNNNNNNNNNNNNNNNNNNNNNNNNNNNNNNNNNNNNNNNNNNNNNNNNNNNNNNNNNNNNNNNNNNNNNNNNNNNNNNNNNNNNNNNNNNNNNNNNNNNNNNNNNNNNNNNNNNNNNNNNNNNNNNNNNNNNNNNNNNNNNNNNNNNNNNNNNNNNNNNNNNNNNNNNNNNNNNNNNNNNNNNNNNNNNNNNNNNNNNNNNNNNNNNNNNNNNNNNNNNNNNNNNNNNNNNNNNNNNNNNNNNNNNNNNNNNNNNNNNNNNNNNNNNNNNNNNNNNNNNNNNNNNNNNNNNNNNNNNNNNNNNNNNNNNNNNNNNNNNNNNNNNNNNNNNNNNNNNNNNNNNNNNNNNNNNNNNNNNNNNNNNNNNNNAUCUCUUACUGUACUGUUCAUAUGAUUGUUUCGUUACUUUCAUAUGAAAGUAGAUUCAUCAAGGUUCGAUUACAUAAUUUAUUCACUAUUUAAUUCCACUCGUACGAAUUCUUGUGAUUUUUCCAAUCCACACCACUGCUGCUGUCAGCCUCUGUUUUCAGAGUAAGCCUUACCUAUUUUCGGGGUUUCAUGGACCAACUAGGGCCUUGUCACACAUAUGCCCACAUAUGAUCAUACUUAGCCAUUCCAAUGGCUGAUCAUUUGCUCAACACUUCCAUUCCAACUAUAGUUACAUCAUGAAACCAUCUAUACAUUCAUAAACACGAAUGGUCUAAUGCCAUACUCCACUUCUACAAGCCAUUUUCGCAUGGCUGUACACUUAUACAUUUCAUAAAGUACUCGAAAAACAACAAUGGGUAGUCCUAUACAUGCCAUAUCAAAAUCCAACCAAAAUAGUUCCCAAAGAGCCUUUGAUAGUGUGGACGACUUCGACUUCAAGAUCCCGAGUCCGAUAGCUGGAGAACCAAAAAUCUAUAAAACAGAGGAGCAGUGUAACGAGUAAGCAAUUUAUGCUUAGUAAGUUUUGAGCAAGGAAUUCCAGCAUAAACAAAGUAUAACACACAUUUAGCUAAACGGAAUAUUUCAUAAUACGCAAUUUACCGAUAUCAAACUUGCUUCACAACAUAAACAACCAUUAUGUACAUACACAAUAGACUAACUUAGCCGAAGGCCGGUAGCUCGUUUAUCAACUGAGCGAACAUUUAUUUGUACGGGCUCGACUAAAUUCAACACAUACGUAACAUAUCCCCAUAUUGGGAUGUUUUUCGUGUAUUCGCUGGAAUUUUACAGCAAGCUCAUUCAUUACCAAAUCACAUACCUUCGGGAUUUAACCGGAUAUAGCUCCUCGUUCAAAUGCCUUCGGGACAUAGCCCGGUUUUAGUAACUCACACAAUGCCUUCGGGACUUAACCCGGAUUUAAUAACUCGCACGAAUGCCUUCGGGACUUAACCCGGAUUUAGUAUCUCGCACAAAGGCCUUCGGGGCUUAACCCGGAACUUGUAUCUCGCACAAAUGCCUUCGAAUCUUAGUCCGGAUAUAUUCACUUAGCACAAAGCCUUCGGGACUUAGCCCGGACAACAUUCAAUUAAUCAUGCACAUCUAACAAUAAUUCAUGGCACAUUCAUAUUUCAUUUUCAUUUGCGAAACUCAAACACAAGGCACAUAUCGUCCUUACACAUUCGGCUCAAUAGCCACACAUAGAGCAUGAUUUUAAUUUGCUUAAAACAUGAUUUAAUCACAUCGUAAUUUAAGCUCUCUUACUCAAGAACUUACCUCGGGUGUUGUCGAACGAUUCCGCUAACUAUUCGACCACUUUUUCCUUCCCUUUAUCGGAUUUAUUUCCCCUUUGCUCUUGAGCUUAAUUAAACAAAUAAAUUGAUUUCAUCAUUUAGGCAUCAAAAAGAUGAACACAAGGCACUUAGCCCAUAUUUAUACAUUAGACAUUAAAGUCUCGUACAUGCAAAAAAAAUCAUGCAUCAACACAACAUAUUAGCUAAUUUCUUUCCCCUUGGCCGAAUAUGCAUGUCUAUUUUUGGGGUCGAUUUCAACACUUAAUACACACAUAUACACACUAGUAAAGCAUCCUCCCCCUUUUCAUCAAUUUAACACAUGCAUUGCUCAUUAACAUGCAAAGUUACAUUCGGCCUUAGCACACAUCUUGCUAGCCGAUUCUUCUCCAUUUAGCAAUCAAUGCACAUAUGUGCUCACACAAAAAUGCUAAAAAAGAGGUUCAAAAAUCAUCAAGCCAUCAUCACAUGCAUCAUUAACAAGCUUCAUAUUUUGCAUGCAAUGGCAUUAACACGACCUCCACCUAGGCCGAAUCUUAACUCAUCCUCAUGCCUCAUCACCACAACAUCAAACAUCAACCAAGAAUGAUGCAUCCAUGGUCAAGUGCCAUUUCCAUCACAUAGCAAGAUUUAGACCAUGGGCUAGGUAGAACUCAAGCUAACAACUAAAACAUGCAUCCAUCUCAUGGAACAUCAUCAAACAUACCUUAGCCUAGCUACAUGCAUGGCCGAAUCUCUUCACCUUUCUUCUUCUUUCCUCCUUAAAAUUUUUGGCCAAGGAUGAACCAAAGGAUGAGAAAUUUUUUUCUUUGUUUUUCUUUCUAAUUUAGGCUAAAUGAAGGUGAGAAAAGGAUGAACAAAGAUCUUCUCCUCUCUUUUUUUUAGCUCACGGCCAUGGGGGGGGGAAAAGAAUCAACUACACACUUUUUUUUUGUGUAUUCAUCAUGCUCCUUUUCAUUAUUUAAUUUCCAUGCCUAUUAUUUUAUUUUUUUCCUACAUACCUCACUAGGCCAACAUGUUCCCAACAUGUUUCCACCCAUAGCAUGGCCAACCACUAGCUCAAAUUUUGGGUAAUUUGACAUGCAAACCCAUCAUUUUCACAACAUGCAUUAAUAGACCAUUUUAAAUUAGCCUAUCAUAUUUUCACCAUGUCUCAUAUCAAUCCCUAUUUAAUAAUUUCUCAUGCAAUUGGCAAAAUUGGAGAAUGAAACUUCCACAUACUCAUGUACACACAUAAUAAGCAUAGAAUAUGGAAAUCAAUUAUUUUUAUGACUCGGUUUUGUGGUCCCGAAACCACUUCCCGACUAGGGUCAAUUUUGGGCUGUCACAUGGUUGAUAGAGGGUGACCAAAGGCUUGGAAAAUAGCCCUACAAGGUCCACACAGGUAGACACACGGGCGUGUGUCUAGGCCAUGUGGUGCCAAAGGAAAUCAUCACUUGGAAAUUUUUCCAAGAAGAGUUUAAGAAGAAAUACAUCAGUCAAAGGUUCUUAGACUCAAAACAAAAGGAGUUCUUGGAACUCAAGCAAGGAAAUAACACUGUAGCGGAAUACAAAAAGGAGUUUGUAAGGCUAAGUCAGUAUGCCACUGAAUGGGUUCAAACUGAGUCAAAAAUGUGCAAACAUUUUGAGAAAGGUCUAAAUGAGGAAAUCAAGCUGUUGAUUGGGAUUCUUAAGAUACUGGAGUUCGCCGCAUUAGCUGAUCAGGCCAAGAGGGCCAAUGAGCUCAAUAAUGAAAGAAAACAAGAAAAGAGAGAGGUUUGAGUUUUGGGCAAGAGAUCCAGCGGUAAGACACUCUCGAUUCCUACAAAGAAAUCAAGCAACCAACAUGAACGCUCCAUUUCAUCGGUAGGAUUUUGGGUAGAACGAGAGGCUCCAAACGACGAAAUAAGAAAUCUUCCUCCCCGAUGGUAACUAGUGUGGGGAGUGUAGAUGACCAAAAGCCAAAGUGUAAAAGCUGCAACAAAUUUCAAUCCGAAAAGUACCGAAUGGAGAGUGGUGCAUGUUUCAGAUGUGGUUCUCUUGAUCACUUCCUCAAGGACUGCCUAGAGUGGAAUAAAAAAGAACUGGAAGUAGCCCCGAAGUCAUGUGCUCCCAUUGCACGAGGUAGACCUCCUAGAUAUCUUGGAAUUGCUAGUGGUAGUCGAGCUGUGGCUAAAGACACUGCAAAAUCAGAGGCUUGAGCUCCGGUAAGAACUUAUGCAAUACGCGCUCAAGAGGAAGCCUCUACUCCUGAUGUUAUUACGGGUACUUUUUCUCUUUUUAAUACAAGUGUUGUUGCCUUAAUUGAUCUGGGGUCGACACAUUCAUACAUUUGCAUGAGAUUGGUGUCUAGUAUGAACAUACCCAUUGAACCUACGAAAUUUAUUAUUAGAGUGUCGAACCCAUUAGGCAAAUCAGUCCUGAUUGAUAAAGUCAAUAAGAAUUGUCCUUUGACGAUUCAUGGUCAAUGCUUUCCGGCUAACCUUAUGUUGUUACCAUUUGAUGAGUUUGAUGUAAUACUUGGUAUGGAUUGGUUAACCCUGCAUGAUGUAGUUGUCAACUGUGGUAGCAAGUAUAUUGAAUUGACAUGCUCAUAGGUGAGAUUUUGUGGGUUGAUUCAACAAAAUUUGGUACGCCACCGGUUGUAAUCAUAGUGAUGGUUUUUCAAAGAUAUAUGAGAAAAGGGUAUGAAGCCUACCUUGCUUUUGUAUUGAACACUAAGGAAACGGAGUUGAAGAUUGAGUAUGUGCCAAUAGUAUGUGACUUUAUUACUCCGUACAGGAUGGCGCCAACCGAGCUAAAAGAGUUAAAAGCACAGUUGCAAGAGUUGACGGAUAAAGGUUUUGCAAGGCUAAGCUUUUCACCUUGGGGUGCUCCCAUAUUGUUUGUAAAGAAGAAAGAUGGUUCAUUAAGGCUAUGUAUAGAUUAUCGGCAGUUGAACAAGGUAACUAUCAAGAAUGAGUAUCCUUUGCCAAGGAUCGAUGACUUGUUCGACUAGUUGAGAGGAGUCACUAUGUUCUCUAAGAUAAACUUGAGGUCCGGCAACUAUCAGUUGCGAGUUAAGGAAUCGAAUGUGCCUAAGAAAACUUUCAAAACGAGGAACGGCCACUAUGAAUUUCUUGUCAUGCCGUUUGGGUUAACAAAUGCACCGGUCAUAUUCAUGGACCUAAUGAAUAGAAUCUUUCAGAUGUACUUGGAUAAGUUCAUCGUUUUGUUCAUUGACUACAUUUUGAUUUAUUCCAAAGAUGAGACAGAGUAUGCGAAGCAUCUGAGAAUUGUGUUGCAGACCUUACAGGAAAAACAACUGUAUGCUAAUUUUAGCAAUAGUGAGUUUUGGCUCCAAGAAGUUGGGUUUUUGGGUCAUAUUGUUUAGGGUGAAGGCAUUCGAGUUGAUCCAAGUAAGAUCUCUGCUAUUGUUGAAUGGAAAUCGCUUAAAAAUGUAACCGAGGUUAGAAACUUUUUGGGUUUAGCUGGUUACUACUGAAGAUUUGUGAAAGGAUUCUCCAUGAUUGCGACUCCAAUGACGAGGUUGCUACAGAAAGACGUUAAGUUUGAAUGGACAGAAAAGUGUCAGCAGAUUUUCGAGAGGUUAAAGACAUUGCUGACUGAAGCCCCUGUUUUAGUGUUACUUGUGCCAGGAAUAGAGUUUGUGGUCUACACUCAUGCAUCCUUAAAUGGAUUGGGUUGUGUACUUAUGCAAGAUGGCAAGGUGAUAGCCUAUGCUUCACCGCAGUUGAAGCCACACGAGAAAAACUAUCCGACUCAUGAUCUAGAGCUUGCCGCCAUUGUUUUGGCCUUGAAAAUUUGGAGGCAUUAUUUAUAUGGAGAGACUUGUCAUAUAUUUAUCGACCAUAAGAGUUUGAAGUAUUUGAUGACUCAAAAAGAAUUGAAUUUGAGAUAGCAGAGAUGGUUAGAAUUAAUUAAAGAUUAUGAGCUGAUCAUUGACUAUCACUCGGGAAAGGCGAAUGUGGUCGCCAAAGCGUUAAGCAGAAAAUCCUUGUUCCCACUGAGAGCCAUGGAUGCUCGAUUAGCAUUGCUUGAUGAUGAUUUAGUUUUGGUAGAGCUAGAAGCUAGGCAGACAUUUCUACAGGAAAAUUUAUGAUGCUCAAACUAAUGACAGCGACUUACAAGCUAAAAGAAUUCAAUGUUAGUCGGGCAUUAAAUCAGAUUUUCAAAUCGGUCCUGAUGGAUGUUUAAUGUUCAGAGAGAGGGUUUGUGUACCCAAAGAUGAUGAGCUUAUUUGGAAAAUCUUACAAGAAACACAUGAUAACCAUUUUUCUAUUCAUCCGGGAAGUACCAAGAUGUACAAUAAUUUGAAGAAAAUGUACUGGUGGAACGGCAUGAAAAGAAACAUUUCCAAAUUUGUAUCGAAAUUCUUGAUAUUUCAGCAAGUCAAAGCUAAACAUUAAGUACCUUCAGGUUUGUUACAGCCUGUGAUGGUCCCCGAAUGGAAGUGGGACAAAGUUACUAUGGAUUUUGUGACAGGUUUGCCAUUGACCCCGAAAAAGAAAGAGCUAUAUGGGUUGUGGUGGAUAAGUUGUCAAAGUCGUCUCAUUUCAUUCCAGUAAGAAUAGAUUACUCUCUUGAUAGAUUGGCCGACUUGUAUAUAUCUGAAAUUGUGAGAUUACAUGGAGUACGACUGUCAAUUAUUUCAGACAGAGACCCGAGAUUCACUUUAAGAUUCUGAAAGAAGUUAUAAGAAGCCUUGGGUAGAAAGUUGAGCUUUAGUACAGCUUUUCACCCACAGACCAGUGGUCAGUCUAAGCAAACGGUUCAGAUCCUUGAAGAUAUGUUGCGAUAUUGUAUCCUAGAAUUUUAAGGUAGUUGGGAAAAAUAUUUACCAUUGGUAGAAUUUGCCUACAACAACAAUUUUCAAAUGAGUUUGAAGAUGGCAACUUAUAAGGCAUUGUAUGGCAGAAAGUUCUGAACUCCAUUGUAUUGGACAGAACUCAAGGAAAGUCAGAUUCACGGGGUUGAUCCGAUCAAGGAAACUGAAGAAAAAGUUAAAGUAAUACGAGACUGUUUAAAAGCGGCAUUAGAUAGGCAAAAGUCAUAUGAUGAUUUGAAAAUAAAAGAGAUUGAGUUCCAAUUUGGAGAUUGAGUAUUCUUGAAAGUAUCUCCAUGAAAAAAAGUAUUGAGAUUUGGCUAGAAAGGCAAACUGAGUCUACGAUUUAUAGGACUCUACGAGAUCAUUGAAAGAGUUAGACCAUUAGCCUAUUGAUCUGCAUUGCCACCCGAAUUGGAAAGAUUCACGACAUGUUUCAUGUAUCCAUGUUAAGGAGAUAUCAAUCAGACCCCUCUCAUGUGAUUUCACCGGCAGAGAUUGAGAUUAGACCGGAUAUGGCUUAUGGCGAGGAACCUGUCAAGAUUUUAGUUCGUGAAAUUAAACAUUUGAGAAAUAAAGAUGUUACUUUGCAAAGGUUUUAUGGCAUCGACACGGUGUGGAAGAAGCUACAUGGGAAGCAGAAGAAACCAUGAGAAGCGAAUAUCCACACCUGUUUACUGGUAAGACUUUUGAAGACGAAAGUCCCUAAGGGGGGAGAAAUGAACAUCCCGAAAUAGGCUAGUCGGAACAGUGGUUUUGGGACAAAAAAUCCGACAUCAAAAUAUUUAAUUUAUGAUUAUUAUAAGGUCUAGAAUAUGAGAAUAUGCAUGUGUUUAAGUUUCAUGAAGGAAUUCUUUUAGUAAGGUGUCCACUUGGACAUUAAGGACCAAAUGGAAUAAAUUGUGAAACUUGGGUUUUAGAAGAAAUUUGUAUGAAAUUGCUUUAGAAUAUUAAUUAGAAGGUCUUGAGGAGCAAUUUUCCCAAUUUUCAUGUUUUUGGGCAAAAAUAGGCUUGUAUGGAUGAAAUUUUAAAGAAAGGGCCUAAGGGCAUUUUGGUCAUUUGGCAAUUUAAUGAAAUAAAAUGGGAAAAAAAAGGCAAAAAUCAGCCAUUCUUUUUCCUUGUCCAACCGAAAUUCUCAAGUCACCAUAGCUAGGGUUUUCAAAAUUUUCAAGCUUAAUAAUAAGUGCUCCUAAGCCCCGUUUUUAAUGUUCUUCGUAUUUUUAAAAUCCUGGUAGCUUACUCUCUCAAUUUUUACCCAUAUUUCAUGAUAGGGUUCAUGUUUAGAAAUUUACCCAUGCAUGAGUUACUUGAAUUUUGAUGGUUUAUGGAGGAAUAUGGAUGUGUUAAACAUCGUUUCCUAGGUGAUUUUCAUGGAAAACCCUAAAAAGGACCUUUUUGCAAAAGGUGUAAAAUGUGAGGUAGAAAUGUGAAAUAAUUGAAAAAUGUGGGCUGCCAUAAGAGGAAAGAACAUUUGAUUAGGCUUGGGUAAUAUAGAAAUUGCAUGGAUUCCAUUAUACGAGCCUAGGGACUAAAUCGUAAAAAUGUGAAAGGUUAGGGGCAAAACGAUCAUUUGGACCGUGGGUGAAAUGUAGACUCAAAAAGUACAAUGCGAGCUGUUAAUGAUUUAUUUUUAUUGUUAUAGACCUCGAGGAACAAAUUUCAGAGGUCGAUCGAGGAAAACGAAAGGUUUUGGAAUAACUGAAACACAAUACCGAGACGAGUACCAAGUAAGUUCAAAUAACUUAAAUUAAACUCAUAGUAUGCUUAGUUGCAUGAUUUAUGAAUGUAUGGUAAUUGCAUUUGAUGACGGCAUGAAAAUCUAUGAAAUAUAUCCUUAAUAAUGACAUGUUGAUAAAUGUCCCGGUUGAGGUUGAAAAGGAAAUCUGAUGGAUAAACCAUAGCUUACAUGACCUGAGAUCCUGCAUGUGUUGCAGAAAGGAUUUAGCCCAGACGGGUGUUCCGUAAGUGAUCGAGCCUCCCGAAGAAUAUGUGUGCGAUGUUGAUUUAGCCUAGACGGGUAAUCCAAUUAGGGUCUGAAUUUAGCCUGGAAUGGUAAUUCAGAUCUGAGCUCAAUAAGGGUGUUUGUCGCUAUAAGGGAUUUAGCCUCGACUGGUAAUCUCGACUUCACCUUAUGAGUUUACGAUGCGGGGGAUUUAGCCUGGACUGGUAAUCUCGCCGUAAGAUGUGAGAUUCACGGGAGUGCAUACUUGAAAUGAUCAUUCUUAUGACUUGACAGAUAAUGGAUAAUCUAUCGAGAUUUCCUAGAAACUCAACGGGAUUAAUAUGAUGUAUAUAAAUGAAAUGAUGAAUGAUGAGCUCAUCUAAGACAAAUUACAUGGUGCAUUAUUAUUGUGACUAACUUGUUGAUUGAAUGCAUGUGAUAGGGAAACUAUUUCAUUUUUGUUGGUUUAUUUGCUUAAUAUGGUUGUAUGCUAAUUAAUCAGUAAGUUUACUUUCUAGUUAAUUGGGCUUACUAAGCAUGUAAAUGCUUACCUCUCUCUCUUUCCUGUCUUACAAAGCUCAAUGACUCAUAAAGAUUGGAAGACGGUUAGAGAGUCAACGUACUAUCAACUAGUCCAGCUUUGGUAUAUAGGCACUUUUAUUUUGUUCAAUGACAUGUAUAGGGCUCUUGGUUUAUUUUGUUAGAUAUGUCAUUUGAUUAGCCAUAAUGAAGACAUGUAAAGAUAUACACAUCUAUUUGUAUAUGGCCAUGGGAAUUGGCUCAUUUUGGAGUAGGCUAUGACCUACAAAUCUAUGAUUGUUUAUGUUUACAAGAGAUGGCUUGACUGUAAUUGGCAAUGAGUUAUAAGAAUGAGCCAAUCUUAAAUGUGUCAAUGAGACAUAGAAACCCUUAAUACGAAAAGGGAAUUAACCUAGCAUGUAUAAAACCGAUGAUAUGAGGUUUACGUGUAAUGAGGUUUAUCAAGGUUAUAUGUAAGUGUAUAAUCUGGCCUUAUUAUGCAUUAAGAUAACCUAUAAGUGUGAGUGGUUGAUAGAGGGUGACCAAAGGCUUGGAAAAUAGCCCUACAAGGUCCACACAGGUAGACACACGGGCGUGUGUCUAGGCCAUGUGUGACACAUGGACCACCCUCAUGGGCGUGUGGUGUAACACCCCUCGCCCGUAUCCAAUGCCGGGACAGGGUUCGAGGUGCUACUGGACUUAACUCAAGCAUAUGCAUAUAAAAUCACACCAUAAAUUUCUUUUAACUUGAAACUUCUUGUUCACAUGCAUUAUCUCCCUUGAACAGGUUCACGAGGCCCAAAACAUACAUUAGAAACGGUUCGGGAUUAAACCGUGAACUUAAGAAAAACUUGGAAAAUUCAUGUUUUAAGGCUCCACACGCCCGUGUGGGUAUAGACGUGUGGUCACACACGCCCGUGAGGCUUGGGACACUCCCAUGCCCUUAGUCCAUGUGCAGCACUGACUUUCAAACAUGGCCAUGGCACACGCUUGUGUGGCCUGCCCGUGUACAACAGUGUCUUUAAAACACGUCCAUGGCACACGCCCGUAUGGCCUGCCCGUAUACAACACCGACUUAAAAUUUUAAGUGCAGGGGGACACACGACCAAAACACACACCCAUGGAAGUGAGCCGUGUGUCACACACGACCUAGACACACGCCCGUGUGUCCAACCAUGUGGACCCUAAUAGGCUAUUUUCCAAUCUUUUGGUCACCCUUUUCACCACUUAUACUUAAUGGUUACCAAAUACAAAGCAAAACGUGAUUAUACUCUUAUAAAUGAUCUUGGCAAAACUUAUUGCAUGGAAAUCUCAUAUCAUUGGUUUCAUACAUGCUAGAUUAUUUUCCCAUCUUGUAUUUAUGGUUUUCCAUGCCAUUAUAACACAUUCAAAAUUGGCUUGUUCUUGUGACUCAUUGCCAAUUAUAAACAAACCAUCACAUAUGAAUAUAAACAUGCAUAUAAUUAUAGGUCAUAGCCUUCUUCAAAAUAAGCCAAUUUCCAUGGCCCUAUACAAAAAGAUAGGUAUAUCUUUACAUGCCUUCAUUUCACGAAUCAAAUGACACAUAUAAACAAAUACUCAAAGGUCCUAUACAUGCCAUUGAACAAAACAGAAAUGUCUUUAUACCAUAGCUAGUCUAUUUGAUAGUGUGCUAGCUCUCCAACCGUCUUCCAAUCCUUACGAGUCCUUGAGCUCUGAAAAGCAGGGAAAAAAGAGGAGUAAGCAUUUACAUGCUUAGUAAGCAAUCAGAAAGUAAACUUACCAAGUAAUUAGCAUACAUCCAUAAUAGAUAAGGAAACCAACAAGUAUGAAAUGGUUCCCUAUCACAUGCACUCAACCAAUGAGUUAGUCACAUAACAAAGCACCAUAUAAUUUAUCUUAGAUGAGCUCAUCGUUCAACAUUUUAUUUUGUAGAUGUAUUUCAUGUUAAUCCCAUUGAGUGUCUAGGAAAUUGUAACACCCCGUACCCGAGACCGUUGCCGGAGUCGGACACGAGGGGUUAACAGACUUAAUUCCGUUAUUUUUACAGUCCAUUUUAAAAAUUUCCAGACUAGCUGGCUAACUGCAUCACUGUCACCUUAAAAAUAAUAUCUUGAGUUCCAAAACUCGAAAGUCAGUUUUGUAAAUUUUCCAUGAAACUAGACUCAUAUAUCCAUCUAAAAAUUUUUUCUAGAAUUUUUGGUCAGGCCAAUUAGUACAGUUUAUUAGUUAAAGUCUCCCCUGUUUCAGGGUUCGACUGCUCUGACCUUCAUGCAUUACGACUUAUAUAUCUCCCUGUACAGGGCUUCAAUACUUAUGCCGUUUGUUUCUAAAGAAACUACACUCGAAAAGGAAUCUAUACAUAUAUGGCAUGACUUCUAACUAUCUCUGGUUAAUUUAUAAAUAAUUUCCUAAGUCCGAACAGGGAAUCCAGAAACUGCUCUGGCCCUGUUUCACGAAAACUUUAAAAUAUCAUAAAAUACUAUUCAUAUGAUCGUUUCAUUACUUCCCUAUGAAAUUAGAUUCAUCAAGGUUCAAUUAAAUAAUUUAUUCACUAUUUAAUUCAAUUCUUACUAUUUUUAGUGAUUUUUCAAAUCCACACCACUGCUGCUGUCAGCAUCUGUUUUUAAGGUAAACCUUACCUAUUUCAUGGUUUUCCAUGAAUCAAUUAGAGUUUGUCAUACAUAGCAUCAAAAUAAUCAUAAUUAACCAUUCCCAAUGGCUAAUCGUUACCAAACAUUUCCAUACCUCUCAAUGAACAACAUACAAGACGAUUAUAAUGCUAUGCUCAAAGUGUAUAUAAGCCAUUUUCGCAUGGCUAUCCAAAUUUAUACAAAACCAAAGGGUACAUGACCAACAACAAAAAGGGUAGUCCUAUACAUGCCAUUUUCAGAGUUCAACCAAAAGUGUACCAAAAGGGCUUUGAUAGUGUGGAUGAAUUUAGCUUCGACAAUCCCGAGCCCGAUAGCUGACGAACCAAAAUCUAUAAAACAGAGAUUCAAAGAACGGAGUAAGCAUUUAAUGCUUAGUAAGUUUUGAGCAAUGAAAUCAUGCACAACUGAAGUAUAGCAUUCAUACGACUAAACGAAUAAUUUCAUAUACACAUAUUCUCACAAUCAUACCUACUUCACAUUUCCAACCCUUAUAUUCAUACGUAAGGAAUCAACUUGUCUAAAAGCCGGAAGCUUGUUAGUUGAUUGAGCAAAUACUAUUUAGAAGGAAUCAAUUAUCUCAAUGCACAUACGAAACAUACCUCAUCGUUGGGAUUUUAAGAGCGUAUUAAUGGAAAUUAUUACAGCAAGAUCGCUCAUUCCCAAACCCAAUUAUCUUCGGGAUUUAGCUGGAUAUAACCACUCGCACAAGGCCGUCAGGUCAUAGCCCGGAUAUAGCUACUCGCUCACAUGCCUUCGGGACUUAGCCCAGUUAUAGUAACUCGCACAAUUGCCUUCGGGACUUAGCCCGGUUAUAGUAACUCGCACAAUUGCCUUCGGGACUUGGCCCGGUUAUAGUAACUCGCACAAAUGCCUUCGGGACUUAGCCCGGAUAUAGUAACUCGCACAAAUGCCUUCGGGCUUAGCCCGGUUAUCAAUCCGAAUAUCCAUGCACAUAUCAAUAAAUCAUGACACAUCAAUAUUUCAUUUUCUUAACUAGAAUUCAAACACAAGUCACUUAUCAAGCAUUAUCAUUUUCAGCUCAAAAGCUACAUACAAAGGGCAUGAUUUUGAUUUGCUUAUAACAUAAUCUAAUCGAAUCAUAAUCUAAGUUUCAUUACUCAAAAACUUACCUCGGAUGUUGUCGAACGAUUUCGACGGCUAUUCGAUCACUUUUUCCUUUCCCUUAUCCAACUUUGGUCCUUUAAGCUCUUGAGCUAAUUCAAACAAAUUUAACUUAUUAAAGUCUCAUUAUGCUAGCUUAUGGCCGAAUAUGACAAUGAAUUUGAUAGGUCAUAUGGCCACCUUUAGCUCAAAUACAAAAUGGUCAUAAGCAUCUUUAAUCACAUUGAGCAAUUUAAUACAAUUAAUCUAACAUUUCCUCAUGUGCACUUUUAUGACCGAAUACACACAUCAUUGACCUAAUAUCAAUUAACUAAGCACUUAACAAAUUCUCCUUGAGCCGAUUAUCUAAGUCAAGAUAAAAGCAUCAAUAUGCUUGCCCCUAACCGAAUACAUGCAACACCAAUCUAUCUCAUGUGGCCGAAUAUGCAUGUCUAUGUUGAGGCCAAUAUAUGCUUAAUACUUCCUACAAAUAUGGUUACUUGUAUUGACUACAUACCAUUUUCUUUCAAAUUCAAAACUCGGCUCAUACACAUAUAUGCAUUAGUAAUCAAAUACUAACAUUUGCACUUCACCUUACUACCAUUUCUCAUCCAAAUAACAUGAGCAACAACCAUUUUUCUCUUCUACUUCCUACCAUGGCCGAAUGCAUCAAGACACCAUACCAUUUCAAUUUUGGUCAUGGUUUAAACAAAGAACUUAAGGUCUAACUCAAAAAAAAAGAAUGCUAAAAAAAAAAUAAAAUCCAAGAGUCAUCAAUCCACCAUCACAUGUAUCAUUACAAAGCUUCAUAUUUAGCAUGCAAAUGACAUCAACACAAAUCCACCUUAGCCAAAUCUUAGCUCAUCUUCAUCACACAGCAAAUAUUUAAACCAUGGGCUAGGUAGAACUCAAGCUAACAACUAAAAACAUGCAUGAAUCUCAUGGAACAACAUCAAACAUACCUCCUCCUAAAACACCAACCAACCAAACAUGAAGCAAGAAGACUCCUUUCUUCUUCCUUUGAUUUUUCGGUCAAGAAGGACAAGGAGGAUGAAGCCUUUUUUUUUUCUCUUUUUUUUUCUUCUAGGUAUGGCACAAUGGGGGAACAACCACACACAAUUUUUUUUUGUUUCUCCUACUACUAACACUAAUAUUUUAUUGCCCAUGUUCUUUAUUUUAUUAUUCCUAACAUAAAGCAUUAACCCAACAUGUUUAUGACAUGUUUUAGCCAUAACAUUUUGUCCACCCUCAUGCUCAUGGCCGGCCACUACUAAUUAGGGGGGAAAUUGACAUGCAAGUCCUCCCUUUUGAUUUCAUGCACUAAUUGAUCCUUAUAGAUUAACCUAUCACAUUUCAAAAGUGUCACACAUAAGUCCUAUUGACUAAAUUCACAUGCAAUUUACUAAAUCGAAGCUUAAAACUUUCACACAUUCAUAUUCACAUAUUUUAGACAAUAAAUAUCAUAUUCAAAUAAUUUGGUGACUCGGUUUAGCGGUCCCGAAACCGCUUUCCGACUAGGGUCACUUUAGGGCUGUCAAAGAAAUCUUGAUGGAAUAUCCAUUAACCAUCAAUUCAUAAGGAUGACCAUUUCAGGUGUGCACUCCCGCGAAUCUCACAUCUUUUGCCAGGAUUACCAGCCCAGGCUAAAUCCUCAUAUCGUAAUCUCAUAAGGUGAUGUUGGGAUUACCAGUCCAGGAUAAAUCCCCCAUAUCGUAAUCUCAUAAGGUGAUGUCGGGAUUACUAGUCCAGGCUAAAUCCCUUAUUGCGAUAAACACCUUUAAUGAGCUCGGAUCUGAAUUACCAGUCCAGGCUAAAUUCAAACCCUAAUCAGAUUACCCGUCCGGGCUAAAUCCAUAAUGCACAUGUAUUCUUCAGGAGGCUCAAUCAUCCAAAGGAACACCCGUUUGGGCUAGAUUGUUUUCAUAAUUGAGAUUAGCGGACUACCCAACUGGGCUAAAUCCUUUCCACAACACAUGCAGGAUCUCAUUACACAUGUAAAACAUGAUUUAUCCAUCGAAUUCGCUUUUUAACCUCAACCGAGACAAUUUUUCACCACAUCAUUAUUAGGAAUUCAUUUCAUGUAAUUUUAUGCCAUCAAUAAAUGCCAUCAUCAUUCAUUCACAAGUCAUAAUCAUAUAAUUAGGCAUAUUAGGAGCUUACUUUAAGUUAUCCGAACUUACCUGGUAUUCGUUUCGAUGCUGUGUUUCGAUUAUUUCGAAACCUUUCAUUUUCCUCAAUCGACCUUCGGAAUUUGUUCCUCGAGGUCUAUUACAACAAAAUUAAAUCAUUAUCACUCCAUAUUAUACAUUUCAAGUUUAAAUUCCACCCCCGGUCCAAAUGACCGUGUUGCCCCUAACAUUUCAUAUUUUUAUGAUUUAGUCCCUAGGCUCGUAUAGUAAAACACAUGCAAUUUCUAUCUUACCCAAGCCUAUCCGAACAUUUUUCUCUCUUAUGGCAGCCCACAUUUUCCAUUAUUUUCACAUUUCUACCUCACAUUUUACCACUUUUGUAAAAUGAUCCCUUUUUGGGGUUUUUCAUGAAAAUCACUUAGGAAAAGAUGUUUAACACACAUCCAACUUUCAUAUUCCUCCAUAAUCCAUCAAAAUACAAGUAACUCAUGCACGGGUAAAUUUUUAAACAUGAACCCUAGAAUGAAAUAUGGGUAGAAAUGGAAAGAGCAAGGUACCAGAAUUUCAAAAAUACAAAGAACAUUAAAAAUGGGGCUUGGGAGCACUUACUAUUGAGUUUGAAAAGCUUGAAAACCCUAGCUAUGGAGGGCUUGAGAGUUUCGGCUGGUACAAGGGAGAAAAUGGCUGAUUUUUGUUUCAUUUUUCCCAUUUUAUUUCAUUAAAAUGACAAAUGACCAAAAUGCCCUUAAGCGCUUUCUUUAAAAUUUCAUCCAUGCAAGCCCAUUUUUGUCCAAAAACUUAGAAAUUGGGCAAAUUGCUCUCCAAUACCUUCUAAUUUAUAAUAUAAAGCAAUUUCAUACAAAUUGCUUCUAGAAUCCAAGUUUUUCAAUUUAUUCAAUUUAGUCCCUAAUUUCCACUUAGACACCUUACUCAAAGAAUUACUUUUUGAAACUUUAACACAUGCAUAUUCUCAUAUUCUAGUCCUCAUAUUAAUCAUAAAAUAAUAUUUUGAUGUCAGAUUUGUGGUCCCGAAACCACUAUUCUGACUAGGCCCUAUUUUGGGAUGUUACAUUUCUCCCCCUUAGGGAUUUUCGUCCUCGAAAAUCUUACUAGUGCACAGAUUUGAAUAUUGGCUUCUCAUGGUUUCUUCCGGCUCCCAUGUAGCCUCUUCCACACCAUGUUGAUGCCAUAAAACUUUUACUAAAGCUACAUCUUUAUUCCUCAACUGUUUAAUCUCAUGGGCUAAAAUCAUAACCAGUUCCUCUCUAUAGGUCAUGUCCGGCCGAAUUUCAACCUCAGUCAGUGAAAUUACAUGACAGGGGUCUGAUCGGUAUCGCCUUAGCAUAGAUACAUUGUGACAGCCCUAAAUUGACCCUAGUCAGAAAGUGGUUUCGGGACCGCUAAACCGAGUCACCGAAGUAUUUGGAUAUGAUAUUUAUUGUCUAAAAUAUGUGAAUAUGAAUGUGUGAAAGUUUUAAGCUUCGAUUUAGUCGAUUGCAUGUGAAUUUAAUUAAUAGGACUUAUGUGUAACACUUUUAAAAGGUGAUAGGUUAAUCUAUAAGGACAUAUUAAUGCAUGUUAUAAAAAUGAUGGGUUUGCAUGUCAAAUUUCCAUUUAUAAUAAGUAGUGGCCGGCCAUGGUAUGGGUCAUUGAUGAUAAUAUGUAUUUUCUAUUAGCAUUAUUAGUUUACAAAAUAAAAUAAGGAAUUAAGAAUAAUAAAACAUGUGGUAAAUGGGAGGAGAAACCAAAGUCUUCAUCUUUGCUCCUCAUUGCCGUGACUAGGAGAGAACAAGCUUGGAAAAAAUUCAGCUAUGGUGGUUAGCUAAAUCAAGGUAAGUUCAAGGAUGAUUCUUGGAUUUCUAGCAUUUUUUUGAGUUAGUCAUUAAGCUCCUUGCUUAGCCCAUGUCCAAAUUUUGAAUCUUUUUGGUAACAUGAGUAAUCGGUUAAGAGAAAAUGUUCAAGAAAUGGUUGUUGUUCAUGUUAUUUGGAUGAAAAGAAAAAAAUUGGUAGUUAGGUGAAGUAGAGUCUAACAAAUGAGCACAUAUGUGCAUUAGUUGCUAGAUGGAGAAAAAUCGGCUAGCAAGUUGAGUACUAAGGCCGAAUAUGAUUUUGGAUAUUAUUGGGCAAUGUAUGUGUUUUGAAUUGAUGGAAUGGAGAGGAUGCUUUAAUUGUGUUAUGAACAAUUAUAUGUUAAAUUAAGGUUUGCUAAGCUAGCUAUUAAGGUGAAGUGCAAAUGUUAGUAUUUGACUGCUAGUGUAUAUAUGUGUAAUAGCCGAAAUGAAGAUGCUUGAUGUCAUGAAUAAAUGUUGUUUAUAGGUUUGGGAAUUGAGUAAAAAUUUGAUGUUUAAUCACUUAAGGAUUCAGCAUUGUUUAAGAUAAUUUACUUAAAAUGUGAUUUUGAAUGUUAUGAGUAUUGGGAUGUAAGUAUAUGUGUGUGCCUGGUCAUAGGAGUUUGCUAUGAAAUUUUGUUUGGUUGAGUGAUGAAUGGCCGAAUGAACUAUAGGCUAGGGUGGAUAAAUUUUUGUACAUAAGUAGUGUGUGUGACUAUUGGUUAAUGAAUAUUCGGCAUAAUGGGGUUUAUGAGUAAAUGGCAUAAUAUAUAUAUAUAUGUGUGUGAAUAUGUGGUAGUGCAUAAAACAAGAAAUCGAUUAAAUUGGGAUGGUCACACAUAGGUAUAUUCGGCUUGUAGUUUUAUAAAUGUGAUAUGAGUAUUUUGUUUGUAAAUGAGUAGUAAAUAUGUUAAGAAUGGUUCUAAAAUGUAUAUGGAUGCCGUGUGAUUGUGUUUGAUUGGGAAGUAAAUUGUUUGAUUUAGCUCAAGAGCUUAGAGGAUCAAAGUUGGAUAAGGGAAAGGAAAAAGUGAUCGAAUAGCCGUUGAAAUCGUUUGACAACAUCCGAGGUAAGUUUUCGAGUAAUGAAACUUAGUUUAUGAUUUGAUUAAGUCAUGACAUAUAAGCAUAACAAAUAAACGGUGAUAUAAUGAUUCUACUUGAAUUGUAUAUUGAGGUGAUUAGUUUAUACCUAUGACGGGUAGCCGAAUGUGUAUAGAGAUCAUGUUUUAAAGCAAAUCAAAAUCAUGCUCUUUGUAUGUGGCUAUUGAGCCGAAAAUGGUAAUGGUUGAUAAGCGUCUUGUGUUUGAAUUCUAGUUAUGAUAAUGAAAUAUGGAUGUGUCAUGAUUUAUUGGUAUAUGUGCUUGAUUAUUCGGAUGAUAUCCGGGCUAAGUCCCGAGGGCAUUUGUGCAAGUUACUAUAUCCGGGCUAAGUCCCGAAGGCAUUUGUGUGAGUAGUUGCUAUACCCGGGCUAAGUCCCGAAGGCAUUUGUGCUAGUGACUAUAUCCGGGCUAAGUCCCGAAGGCAUUCAUGCUAGUGACUAUAUCCGGGCUAAGACCCGAAGGCAUUUGUGGGAGUUGCUAUAUCCGGCUAAAUCCCGAAGAUACUUGGGUUUGGAAGUGAGCGAUCUUGCUGUAAUAAUUUCAAUUAAUACGCUCAUAAAAUACAAACGAUAAGGUAUGUUUCGUAUAUGCAUCGGAAAGGUUGAUUCCUUUCAAAUAGUACUCGCUCAAUUGAUUAACGAGCUUCCGGCCUCUAGUUAGGUUUGAUACCCUGUGUAUGAAUAUAUUGGUUGAAGCGUGAAGAAAUUAUGAUUUUGAGAAUGUGCAUAUAUGAAAUUAUUCAUUUAGUCAUAUGAACGCUAUACUUUAGUCGUAAAUAAUUUCGUUACUCAAAACUGACUAAGCAUUAAAUGCUUAUUCCGUUUAUUUAAUUCUCUGUUUUAUAGAUUUUUGUUCGUCAGCUAUCGGACUCGAGAUUGUCGAAGUCGAAGUCGUCCACACUAUCUAAGCCCUUUUGGUACUCUUUUAGUUAAACGUUGAUAAUGGCAUGUAUAGGACUAACCUUUGUUGUUAAUCAAGUACCUUUGGUAAUGUGUAUAUAUAUUCGGAUAGCCAUGCGAAAAUGGCUUAAAUAUUUUGAGCAUAGUAUUAAAAUCAUUUUGUAUAUAUAUGGUUUUUGAGAGGUGUGGAAAUGCUCGGCAAUGAUUAGCCAUUGGAAUAGUUAAUCACGAUCAUAUUUGGUGCUAUGUAUGUCAAAUGGCUAGUUGAAUCAUGGAAACUAUGAAAUAGGUGAAAUUUACCUUAAAAUAGAUGCUGACAGCAGCAGUGAUGUGAGUUUGAAAAUUCACUACAAAUAGUAUGAAUGUAAUUAAAUAAUGACUAAAUUAUGAAAUCGAACCUUGAUGAGUCUAUUUUCAUAUGGAAGAAUCGAAACAACCAUAUGAGCCGUACUUUAUGAGAUGUUUAAGUUUUUGUGAAACAGGGCCAGAGCGAUUACUGGAUCCCUGUUCUGACUUUGGACAUUUACCAUAAAUUAACCAGAGAUAAUUAGAAGUCAUUCUUUAUAUGCACGUAUUCCUUUUUGAGUCUAGUUUCAUUAGAAAUAAAUGGAAUAUGUAUUGAAGUCUUGUACAGGGAGAUAUCUAAGUCGUAAUGCAUGAAGGUCAGAGUAGUCGAACCUUGAAACAGGGGAGACUUUAACUAAUAAACUAUACUCAUUUGCCCGACCAAAAAUUCUAGAAAAAAAUCUGUAGAUGGAUAUAUGAGUUUAGUUUCAGGGAAAAUUUACGGAAUCAGUUUUCGAGUUUUUGAACUCGAGAUAUGAUUUUUAAGGUGACAAUGACGCAGUUAGCCAGCUUGUCUGGAAAUUUUAAAAUGAACUGUGUAAAUAAAUGAAUUAAGUUCGUUAACACCUCGUGUUCGACUCCGGAAACGGUCUCGGGUGCGGGGCGUUAGAUACAUUGAACACAUCGUGAAUCUUUUCUAGUUCGGGUGGCAAUGCCAAAUGGUAGGCUAACAGUUCAACUCUUUCGGUGAUCUCAUACGGUCCAAUAAAUCGCGGACUCAGUUUGCCUUUUCGACCAAAUCUCAACACCCUUUUCCAUGGAGAUACUUUCAAGAAUACUCUAUCUCCAACUUGGAACUCAAUUUCCUUUCUUUUCAGAUCAGCAUAUGACUUUUGCCUAUCCGAUGCUACUUUUAGACAAUUUCGUAUCACUUUAACUUUCUCUUUAGUUUUUUUAAUCAGAUCAACUCCAUGAAUCUGACUUUCCUUAAGUUCUAUCUAGUACAAUGGAGUUUAGCACUUCCUACCAUACAAGGCCUCAUAAGGUGCCAUCUUGAAACUUGUUUGAAAACUAUUGUUGCAGGAAUAUUCUACCAACGGCAGGUAUUUUUCCCAGCUACCCUGAAAUUCGAGGAUGCAACAUUGCAACAUAUACUCGAGAAUCUGAAUCUUACGUUCAGACUGACCAUCGGUCUGAGGGUGAAAAGUUGUACUAAAGCUCAACUUUGUACCCAAGGGUUCUUGUAAUUUAUUCAAGAAUCUUGAAGGGAACCUCGAGUCUCUCUCUGAAAUGAUCAAUCGUGGUACUCCAUGCAACCUUACAAUCUCAGAAAUGUAUAAGUCGGCCAACUUAUCAAGAGAGUAAUCUGUCCUUACCAGAAUAAAAUGAGCCGACUUCGUUAACUUAUCCACUACAACCCAUAUGGCAUCUUUCUUUUUUGGAGCCAAAGGAAAUCCUGUCACCAAAUCCAUGGUUACUCUGUCCCAUUUCCAUUCAGGGACCAUUACAGGCUAUAACUACCCUGAAGGUACUUGAUGUUCAGCUUUAACUUGCUGACAUACCAAGAAUUUUGAUACAAAUUCAGAAAUAUCUCUUUUCAUGUCGUUCCAUAGUACAUUUUCUUCAAAUUGUUGUACAUCUUGGUACUUCCUGGGUGAAUUGACCAAUGUCUUUCAUGUGCUUCUUGCAAAAUCUUCCGAAUAAGCUCAUUGUCCUUGGGUACACAAACCCUAUCUCUGAACAUCAAACAUCCAUCAGAACCAAUCUAAAAAUCUGAUUCAAUACCUGACUCACAUAAAUAUAGUCAUAGUUCUCAUAAAUAUAAAUAUUAUACCUAACUAAUAAUCAAUUAUCUUCCAUGUCUCAUAACAACCUUUAUUCAAAAAUACCUAUUAACUUAUUUGAAUUUUUUUUGACUAACAAUUAUAAAACAUAAAUAGUUAACCAAAGGUAGCAUAACAAUUAUAGUUCAUUCGACAUAUAUAUUUACGAAACAUCAAAACAUAUUUAAAUAAAUUUUAUAAUAAGUUCCAUUCAUGGAUUAUUACUCACCCAACAAGUAUCAAUUAAUACUUCCACAAACCCAUAAUAAAUCCAAUUGAAAUCAUGUUACAAACUUUAUUAAACAAUCACUUACGUAAAUUAAAUACAUUUUGCUAGGAUCGAUCAUGCUAUUAAUGCAUAUGCGCAUAAUAUACAAAUUUCCCAAAUGUAAAGGUUACGUAUAACAUCCAAGAUAUGUGUACCAAAUAAAUCGAACUAAUUAAACAAAAAAAAAUACUUACAAUAUCAACUGAUCUAAUCAAGGUAAUAUACCUUUAACCAUCAUUUAACUAUAUCACAUUUCAUAUUUCCAACUAAGCAUUAUUCUAACCGAUUUUUUUAGUCAAACACAUCACUCACAUUUAAUGAACACAAUCUCUAAGUUCAGCAAAUUACACAACCAAAUACAAAUUAUAACUAACAUCACUGUCACACUAAUUUCCAAGCAUAUAACACCUAGCACAAUUAUCAUACAUUUUAUAACAAAUUUCAUGACAGCCAAAAUAAAUUAAACCAUGACCAAACAUAACCAAUUCCAAGCUUAGAAAUUAAGCCAUUUUCGCAUGGCUUUAAACAUACAUAACCAAAAUUCAACAUUUCAUACACUUUCUAGCCUAUACAUGCCAUAAUUCUAGUUUAGCUUAUAAGGUACCAAAACAGUAGUUAGUGUGAUGAACUUUACUGACAGUCCCCGAGCUCGUAGCUUUAUCCAAAAUCUAUAAAGUAGAAAUACACAUAUACACAAGUGAGCUUUUUAUAGCUUAGUAAGUCAUAAGCAAAUAAUCAACCCAAGGAUAUUAUCAACUUAAUUUAACUAAACCGAAUUAUAUUAUCAUAACACAUUUAAAUCCAAACGCAUAUAAAUUCAUAUUAUAUAUAUAUACAUAUAUAUUUAUUCAUUACAAAUAUCACCUAACUGAAUGUCUAUAUAGUCAAACUAACAUAUUAGCAUUUAAUUUUCCAAAACCAAAUAAUCAUUACAAAUCUAAUUCACAUACACUCAAUUACAUAAGCUCACAUGUUACCACAUAAUUUCAUAUACAUGUAUUGAUUAUGUGACCGAAUACAUAAAUUCCCAUACAUAUAAUUAAUACUCAUUCCAAUAAUUUUAACAAGGUUGGAUACACGUACCUAGUUCACAAAGAAUCUUAUUUGCAGUACACACAAUUUGUAAUGAGUAUCAAUUUGCACACUUACCUUAUUUUAAAUAAAACUCAAGCUAAUUCAUACCUGGUCAUUUAGCUCAUUUUCAUACUCAAAUACAACUUAUCUUUGCCCGAUGAACCAUUCAGAAUUGGAUAAGACACCCGGAUAAUCACAUAAAUCAUACAAUGCCAACGUCCCAGACGUGGUCUUACAUGUAACCACAUAUCGAUGCCAUUAUCCCAGACAGGGUCUUACUCAUAAACACAUAUCAGUAUCACAUACUGAUGCCAUGGUCUUACUCGUACACAUAUAUCGGGAUCCUAUGUCAUGACAUAUGUAUCCUAGCUAUUCCUAAGGUUCAUUCGGGACUUUCGGACAUCGUAACUCGGUUGAAACGAAUGCUUGAACAUGGUUACCAAGCUUAUACACAUUUGGCAAUAGCAUAUAUAAAUUCAUAUUUUGCAUACCAGCAUAUAUACAUAGCAUUUAACUACAAUUAGAUAUAUCCAUUUGAUUGUAAACUUACCUCGAACGUCAUAAAACAGGAUGAGGCUGUUAGUCGACAACUUUCAUUUUCCCCGGUCCAAAUCUGAUUUCUUUGGUUCUUGAUCUAAACAUAUUCAAAUUAAGCUCAUUCAAACAUAUUUUCAUUCAAUUUAGUCGAAAAACACAUAAAUGUGAAAAUUACCAUUUUACCCCUAACAUUUACAAUUUUUACGAUUUAGUCCUCAUUGCACAAAACACAAAAUAUGCAAAAUUUCAAGGUACCCAUGUUUAGCCGAAUAUUCCUAGUGUUCAUACAAGACCAUAUAUUUUGUUUAUUUCACAUUUUUGUCCCUCAAAUUAUUAUUUUCGAAAUUAAGUUCUAAAUACUCAAAAUCAUCAAAAACUCCAAUACAAAAUAUGUUAAUCUAAAACAUAUCUUUCAUUUUUCAUCAUCAAACAAAAAAAAUCAUAAACUAUCAACAAUGGCACAACUCAAAAUAUUCAUCAAAAUAAAAAAUUAAAGCAUGGGUCUUGAAGAUGACUAAACAUCUAUCUCAAAAAUGUAGAAAUUAUCAAAAACCGAGCUAAACUAGUACCUUAAUCAAGCUUGAAUACCACCGAACCCUAACUUGUUUUUCUUUUUCUUUCUUCUUUAAGUUUUUGCCAAGAGAAAAGGUAAUAUGAAAACCUUAUUUUAAUUUGAUAUAACAUAUAAUAACAUAUAAUAAUAUUUUAUUUAAUUAUUUAUUUAACUUUAAGAAUAUUAUAACAAAGCCAUAUGACAUAUGUCUACCCAUUGCAACUUUAAGGCUUCCAUUUAAAAAGCCAAGUACAAUUUAGCCCUUUUUAGAAAAACCACUGAAUUUUCAUUUUAUGCGAUUAAGUCCUUUUAUUUAAUCGAACACCUAAACGAUAAAAUUAAAUCACGAAAUUUUCACAGAUAUAAAUUCACACAAAAUAAACACAGAAAAUAAUUUUUUAAUUAUUUUUCUGACUCAGAUUUGUGGUCCCGAAACCACCAUUCCGAUUAGGGUCUAAAUCGGGGUGUUACAACUCUCAACCUUAGGGAUUUUCGUCCCUGAAAAUCUUACCGGUGAAUAGGUUCGGAUAACAUUCCUUCAUUGUAUUCUCUAGCUCCAAUGUUGCUUCCUCAACUCCAUGCUUAUGCCAUAAUACUUUAACUAACAGAAUCUUCUUAUUUCGUAACUCUUUAAUCUCACGAGUCAAAAUAUGAAUCGGUUCUUCUUUGUAGGUCAUAUCUGGCUGAAUUUCAAUCUCAAACGGACUAAUCACAAGGGAAUGGUCAGAUCGAUAUCUCCGAAGCAUUGAAACAUAGAAUACAUUGUGGAUCUUUUCUAACUCAGGUGGCAACGAUAAUCUGUAAGCAACUAGCCCAAUACGCUCUAUUACUUUGUAUAGUCCAAUAAACCUCAGGCUCAGUUUGCCUUUGUGACCAAACCUGAGUAUUUUCUUCCACGAUGAGACUUUCAAAAAGACUUUAUCUCCAAUCUGAAACUCUAUAUCUUUAAGUUUCAAGUCCGCAUAAGACUUCUAACGAUCUGAUGCUACUUUCAAGCGUUCACGAAUCACUUUCACCUUCUGUUCAGUUUCUCUUUUCAAGUCAACCCCGUGUAUCUUACUUUCACUGAGCUCAGUCCAGUACAACAGCGUACGGUAUUUACGACCACACAAAGCUUUAUAAGGUGCCAUUUUGAUGCUCGAUUGAUAGCUGUUUUUANNNNNNNNNNNNNNNNNNNNNNNNNNNNNNNNNNNNNNNNNNNNNNNNNNNNNNNNNNNNNNNNNNNNNNNNNNNNNNNNNNNNNNNNNNNNNNNNNNNNNNNNNNNNNNNNNNNNNNNNNNNNNNNNNNNNNNNNNNNNNNNNNNNNNNNNNNNNNNNNNNNNNNNNNNNNNNNNNNNNNNNNNNNNNNNNNNNNNNNNNNNNNNNNNNNNNNNNNNNNNNNNNNNNNNNNNNNNNNNNNNNNNNNNNNNNNNNNNNNNNNNNNNNNNNNNNNNNNNNNNNNNNNNNNNNNNNNNNNNNNNNNNNNNNNNNNNNNNNNNNNNNNNNNNNNNNNNNNNNNNNNNNNNNNNNNNNNNNNNNNNNNNNNNNNNNNNNNNNNNNNNNNNNNNNNNNNNNNNNNNNNNNNNNNNNNNNNNNNNNNNNNNNNNNNNNNNNNNNNNNNNNNNNNNNNNNNNNNNNNNNNNNNNNNNNNNNNNNNNNNNNNNNNNNNNNNNNNNNNNCAACUAGGGCUCACCUGCAAGGAUAGAAGAGAAAGGGGCUGAGUUUGGAAAAUCAGUGUGUAUGGAAAACCCAACCAAAGCCCAAGUCAGCUCAAGCCUAUUGGGCCUAAGCCCUAUUCAGAUAACAGCAGGUAUUAGGCCGAAGCCCUUUUCAAAAUACAGUAAACUGGGCCUUAGCCCCUUAUCAAAUAACGGUAUGGCCCAUAGGCCCAUUCCAGAACAGAACAGAACAGACAUAUUCGUGUAUGCAAGCCCAACCCAGUGUAUAACCAACCACUACACUCCACCCGUACCAGCCCUACACUUCAUGUGAGGAAUAGCUCAACCCACCCAGCCCUAUAUCCAUAGUUGCAGCAUUGCUACUCAGAAAUUAGUAAGUUGAGGCAAAGCCUCCAGUACAUGGACAAGCCACUUUCAGUACUUCCUCCAUCAGUAACCCAGUCCCAUGCAUCAGAUGAUAAUAACAUGGCAUGCAUUAAAUAGUAACAGUCAAACAUGCAUUCAGGUCAACCUUAACCCUAGGGGUAUAUUAGUAAUUUUACUCCUAGGGGUAAAUCUGUAAAUUUUCCACCUAUAAAGGUAUUUCAGUAAUUUUAUCAGUUUUAAGGGUUCUCAUGAAUGUUAGGUCCUUACUAGCCCAUUUGUCAUCGCAAUAAUUUAUUUAUCUCAAUUUCACAAUUUUAGCCAUUGGGCCCUAAAACCCCUAAUGGGCCCUACAGUGUCCAUUAGCAAUUUAAGCCCAUUUAAUUCAAGUUUUAUGACCAGUUUACCAGUUUAAGCAGUUUCGAUUCUACAGUCUAACAGAACAUACUUAUUGCCUAUUUUUUUAUAUUAUAUAUUUUUAUUUUUUUAUUAACCCACAUGAGCCCGUAAGCCCAUUCGUCCCAGUUUAAGCCUAUCAAGGCCCAAUUACCGAAGUGCACGAAAUUUCACACACGAUUAACUUACUACUUUGCGAUUUCAGAUCUAAUGAUUUCUAAAUGUCUUGCGAGCACUCGCACACUCACAAGCCCACGAAAUGUUGAAAUUUUGGCAUUUCGGCUUUUGUCAAAUUAAACUACGAGAGGGUGUUCGAUACACACUUGUUUUGUAUGACUGCUACUGAGAUCCCUUACGAUGUCCUACAAUUGAUUACCACAAUUCUUAGAUUGCAACCCACAACAACCAAUCCCAAUAUUCAGCAACCCAUAUUCGAACCAUGCCCCUAAAGCCUUUAAAAUCUUACCUUUUUGCCGAAAACCGAUGACUAGAUCUAGGUCUAGUUGUUCCAAAGAUCCAAGCCUUCAAUCAAACCUCUAGAAGACACUAAUCACCAAAAGAAAUCUUCGGUUAAAGACCCUUAAAGCCCUAUGCCCAAAUCGACAGCCUCCCUAGAUUUUAGGGACUUCGACUUUUCUAAAUUGUAAAAUAAGACUAGAUCUGAGGUGAUGAGCACUUACCACUUAUUCCUCUUUAAUUGCUAUGCAGAUAUAAUACAGAUCUAUCCUCUAAACGAUAGUAGAACUCGAAUCCAGGAGAUCUGAAGUUUCGGCUAUAAGUCCUUAAAUUUAUGGUAUUUUGGCUUUUUAAGUGAUGAAGAAGAUGACGGUUUGAGGCUAUAACUUUGAAGUAAUGUUGCCGACAGAUACUAAGGGUUUAGAGAAGAUGAAAUUUGAUCAAAAAGAACAAAAAUAACUGAAGGAUUUUGGCUUGGAGAAAUCAGCACAAGAAGUGAGUUUUCGGGAUUUCGGCUUUUAUGGUAAUCGGCUAUGGAGGUUUUGUGGAGGAUGGGAUUGACAGAGGAUGUGAGUAAAAAUCAAAAAGGAAGAAAGAAAAUGGAGGAAAAAGAGAGUAAGAAAAAUCGGCACUAAGGAGAACGAAUUUGUGUUUUCGGCUUUUGUGAGAACUCAGAAAGGAUGAAUGACAGUGAAAGCUUUCAGGUGGCUAACCCUAAUUCUCCAAGACAAAAAAAGAAAAGAACCUAACCCUAAUAUCAACUAAAACAAUCGGCCCAACCUCCCUAAGGCCCUUUCCAAAAUUCACUUAAGUGAUCACAUGCCCGGCACAUGCCUAAAAUUAAAAAGUAACAAUAUGCCUACCUUGCAACUUGAACCCUGGACCUUUAAUUCCUUCCCAGAUGCCAUAAACCCUUUGUAAUUUAUUUAAUUACUACACUAAACAUACGAAAUAAUAAUAAUAAAAAUUAUAAUAAUGAUAACAUCUGAAUUAUUGGGGCCGUCUGCUACCCAAACCCAGACUCAAGGCCCAAUACUUUUAAGCCCAAAAAUCGAGGCGUUACACAACACAUGAUCUAGAAUUGGCAGCUAUUGUGUUUGCAUUGAAGAUAUGGCAUCACUAUUUGUUCGAUGAGAAAUGCCAUGUUUAUUCUGAUCACAAAAGCCUGAAAUAUCUGAUGACUAAGAAAGAUCUGAAGUUAAGACAGCGUUGAUGGUUAGAGCUGUUAAAAGACUAUGAUCUUGUGAUUGGCUACCAUCUGGGAAAGGUUAAUGUUGUUGCUAAUGCUCUAAGCCAAAAAUUACUUUUUUCUUUGCAUGCAAUGAAUGCACAUAUGGCUAUGUCUGAUGAUGGUUCGAUAAUAGCUGAUAAAAUCAAUACCAUUAUUUAUUUAACAAAUUUGUGAGGCUCAGAAAGUUUAUGAUGAUUUGUUAGCAAAACGAGCUCAAUGUGAUUCAAAUGUUGAUUCAGGGUUCAGAGUUGAUGCUGAGGGUUAUUUGAGGUUCAGAAAUUGAAUAUGUAUCCUGAGAAAUUCAAAGUUGAUUCAGAUGAUUUUGAACAAAGCUCAAAGCAGUCGAUUAUCUGCUCACUCGGGUAGUACGAAGAUGUAUAAUGAUCUGAAACAACUUUACUAGUGGCAUGGUAUGAAACAAAACAUUUCUGACUUUGUUUCGGAAUGUUUAGUCUAUCAGCAAGUAAAGGCUGAGUAUCAGGUACCUUCUGGGUUGCUUCGGCUGAUCAUGAUACCUGAGCGGAAAUGGGACAGAGUCACAAUGGAUUUUGUAUUUGGUUUGCCGUUGACAUUGAGCAAGAAAGAUGGAAUCUAGGUUAUUGUGGAUAGAUUGACUAAAUCAGCUCAUUUUGUUCCUGUUCGCACAGAUUACUCGCUUUAUAAGCUAGCUGAAUUGUAUGAUUCUCAGAUUGUGAGAUUACACGGAGUACCUAUUUCUAUAGUUUCAGAUAGAGAUAUGAGGUUUACAUCGCGAUUUUGGAAGAAAGUACAAGAUGCUCUAGGUACGAAAUUACAUUUCAACAAUGCUUUCCAUCCGGAAAUAGAUGGUUAGUUCGAACGAAUCAUUCAGCUACUUGAGGAUAUGUUGAGAUGUUGCAUUCUCGAGUUCGAAGGUACGUGGCAACGAUACUUACCUUUGACUGAAUUUACGUACAAUAAUAGCUUUCAAUCAAGUAUCAAAAUGGCAUCUUAUAAGGCUUUGUACAGUCGUAAAUGUCGUACACCAUUGUAUUGGACCGAGCUCAGUGAAAGUAAGAUACACGGGGUCAAUUUGAUUAGAGAGACUGAACAGAAAGUAAAAGUGAUCCGCGAAAGUUUGAAAACAGCGUCAGAUCAUCAGAAAUCAUAUGCGGACUUGAAACGAAAAGAUAUAGAGUUUCAGACAGGGGACAAAGUCUUUUUGAAAGUUUCACCGUGGAGGAAAAUACUCAGAUUCAAUCGUAAAGGAAAAUUGAGUCCGAGAUUUAAUGGACCAUAUGAGAUUAUAGAGCGUAUUGAGCUGGUUGCUUAUAGACUAUUGUUUCCACCUGAGUUAGAAAAGAUCCAUAAUGUAUUCCAUGUGUCGAUGCUUUGUAGAUAUCGAUCUGAUCCCUCACAUGUGAUUAGUCCGUCACAGAUUGAGAUUAAUUCUGAUAUGACAUAUGAGGAAGAGCCGAUUUGUAUUCUGGCUCGCGAAGUUAAAGAAUUGCGAAAGAAUAAAAUUCUGUUAGUGAAAGUAAUGUGGCAUAAACACGGAGUUGAAGAGGCAACGUGGGAGCCAAAGGAUGCAAUGAAAGAAUGCUUUCUAAACCUCUUUACUGGUAAGAUUUUCGGGGACGAAAAUCCCUAAAGGGGAGAGUUGUAACAGCCCGAUUUAAACCCUAUUCGGAAUGGUGGUUUUGUGAACAUGAAUCUGAGUCAGAAAAAUAUUUUAAAAUUAUUUUCUGUGCUUAUUUUGUGCGAAUUUAUGUGUGAAAUUUUCGUGAUUUAAUUUUGUCGUUUAAGUGCCCGAUUAUAUAAAGGGCUUAAUCGCGUAAAAUGAAAACUUGAUAGUUUAAUGUGUAAGGUCUGAAUUGUUGUUGUCUUGUUAAAUGGAGGCAUUUAAGUUGCAAAUAGACCAUUAAUAUAUGGGAUGGACGGUUGAAACCUUAUGUUAUAAUGGUUUCAUAUUUUAUAAUAAGGUUAAAUAUGUAAAAUAGAUAAUAUGUUAAUAUAUGUUACGUUAUAACAUAAUUAAAAGCCAUUAGUUCACUAUUUUCUCAUGACCGAAUAACAAAAAGAAAGAAAACAAAUAAAGCUUUAGGUGUUCGGCACUUUGAAAGCUUAAUCAAGGUGUGUAACUAGCUUGGUUUUUGAUAAUUUUUAUGUUUUUGAGAUUGUUGCAAUGUAAUGUACAAAGCCCAUGCUUGAAUUUUUUAUUUUGAUGAAUAUUUUGAGUUAUGCCAUUGAUGAAUAUUUGAGCUUUGUGAUGUUAGUUGAUCAAAUAUGAAAGAUAUGUUUUGGAUUAACAUGUUUUGUAUUGGAAUUUUUGAUGAUUAUGAGUAAUUAGGGCUAAAUUGAAAAAAAAUAAUAAAUUAAGGGACUAAAAUGUGAAAUAAAAUAAAUGUAUGGACUUGUAUGAACACAAGGAACAUUCAGCCUACGCAUGGUGUACUCAAAUUUUGCAUGUUUUGUGUUUUGUGCAAUUUGGACUAAAUUGUAAAAAGUGUAAAAUGUCAGGGGUAAAAUAAUAAUUUUCCCAUUUAUAUUUUUUUGGACUAAAUUGACUAAAAAUAUGUUUGAAUGAGUUUAAUUUGAAUAUGUUUAGAUCAAGAACCAAAGAAAUCAGAUUUGGAUCGGGGAAAAACCAAAUUUGUCAACUAGUCGUCCCGUUCCGAUUUUCAUCAUCCAAGGUAAGUUUAUAAGCAAAUAGGUAUUGUUAAUUUUAAUUAUGUACGAGUUUAUAUGCUGAAAUUAAAUUAUGUGAAAUUAUAUAUAUGAAAGUCGAAUGUACAUAUGCAUUGAAACAAAGUUUACGAGUUCGACUCGAUCGAAUUACAACAUCUGAAAGUCUCGUACGAACCUUAGGAAUAGCUAGGAUACAUAUUUCAUGACAUAGGUUUUUCGAUAUGUGUUCCCAUGUAAGACCACGUCUGGGACACUAGCAUCGAUCUAUGAUUACGUGUAAGACCCUGUCUGGGACAGUGGCAUCGAUAUGAGAUAGCAUGUAAGACCACGUCUAGGACGUUGGCAUUGUUUGAUAUAUGUGAUUAUUCGAAUAUCCUAUUCAAUUUCGAAGGGUUCAAUGAGCAAUGAUAAGUUGUGAAUGAAGGUGUAAAACUAGCUAAAACGAUCAAGUAUCAGUUAGUUGAUUACCUAUUCAAAAAUAAGGUAAGUUAGCCAUUUCAUAUAUGAUGCAAAUAAUAUAAGUUAUUAAUGUGAACAUAUGUGCACUUGCAAAGUAUAUUCGGCUAUAUGUUAUGUAUAUGCAAGUGAUGUUAUAUUUUGAUUCAUGAGUAUAUGUAUACGUGUAUAAAUACAUUCGUUUUAUAAUGAUGUUAUGUCUUUGAAAUUGAAUGAUACUUGGGAUAUGCAUGUAUGUACAAUCGGUUAAGAUAAGGUUAUUUAUGAAAGCAUAUGUUAAUUAUGAAAUGUUAAACUUUAGAUUAAAUGUGACUAUGAUAGUAUAACUUGAUUUGGUUAAAAUAAGUUGAUAAUGUCAUUGAGUUGUUAUUUUCUUAUGACUUACUAAGCUUUAAUAGCUUACUGUGUGUUAUGUUUGUCUCUGUUUUAUAGAUUUCCUGAUCUAGUUAUGAGCUCAGGGAUUGUCAGCAAAGUCCAUCACACUAUCGACUAUUUUUGGUAUUUGAUAAGUUUAAAUUUGAACCUAUGGCAUGUAUAGGCUAGUUAAUAUGUUUGAUUUUGAUGUUGAAAUUUGAACCUAUGGCAUGUAUAGGCUAGUUAAUAUGUUAGAUUUUGAAGUUGUGUAUAUAUUAAGCCAUGCGAAAAUGGCUAAUAUGAUAUGUGAGUAUAUAAAAUUUUAGUGAAGUAGAUAAGUGUUUUAUACAUGGAAAGUGGUUGAUGAUUUUGGAUGUGGUUUGUUUGAUUCGUCCAUGGCAUAUACAUAAGCAUGAAAUAUGUUUGUUACGUUAUUCAUGAUUAAAAUGAUUCAAUUUUGACUGGUAUUUGGUAGGAAUGGUUUAACUUGGUUGUCGAAUAUAUUCGGUUAAAUGUUAAAAUUAGGUGAGGAAUAUACUUGAUUGAUGAUUCAGUACUUGCACAUAUAAAUAUAUUUUGGCACAUAAUAUGUUGUGGUACAUGAUCAUGUGUUUCAGUAAUGGAGUAAAUGAUGGAUGUUAUUGAGUUAAAAUAUGUAAUGUAUUAUUUAGUAAUAUGUAUGCCAUAUACAUUUAUAGUGUGCUUGGUAUAUGCUCACGGUUUUAAAGUAAUGAUGUAAAUAGAUCAUGGUUAAUCAUUUUGGAACGCUUUUCAUAUUAGAUAUAUAUAUACAUAUAUGUAUUUUGGUUGUGUCUUAAAAUUUGGUUUACUUGGAACAUAUGAUUUGUACUAUGAAUUAGUUUAAGUUAUUAAAUUUAAUACAAGGAAUAUAUGUUUGUCAUGUUUUUUAUAAGUUUCGGUAAAAUGGAUAAAGUUAAGUAUAAUGUAUAUUCGGCUGUAGUACUAGAUCUUUUUAUAAGUGUUUCUAGCAUAUUUAUGUGAUGGAAUAGUAUGAUCAUGUGUAUUUGGGUACGUAAGAUUAAUUUAUGAAUGAUUUUUCAUAGUGAAUGAGAUGUAAUUUAGUUUGUUUCUUUUG